UACGAAGGGGGCUAGCGUUGCUCGGAAUCACUGGGCGUAAAGCGCACGUAGGCGGAUUGUUAAGUCAGGGGUGAAAUCCUGGAGCUCAACUCCAGAACUGCCUUUGAUACUGGCGAUUUUGAGUCCGGGAGAGGUGAGUGGAACUGCGAGUGUAGAGGUGAAAUUCGUAGAUAUUCGCAAGAACACCAGUGGCGAAGGCGGCUCACUGGCCCGGUACUGACGCUGAGGUGCGAAAGCGUGGGGAGCAAACAGG
rnacentral:rRNA from 1 species